GACGAACGCUGGCGGCGUGCUUAACACAUGCAAGUCGAACGGAAAGGCCCUGCUUUUGUGGGGUGCUCGAGUGGCGAACGGGUGAGUAACACGUGAGUAACCUGCCCUUGACUUUGGGAUAACUUCAGGAAACUGGGGCUAAUACCGGAUAGGAGCUCCUGCUGCAUGGUGGGGGUUGGAAAGUUUCGGCGGUUGGGGAUGGACUCGCGGCUUAUCAGCUUGUUGGUGGGGUAGUGGCUUACCAAGGCUUUGACGGGUAGCCGGCCUGAGAGGGUGACCGGCCACAAUGGGACGUAGGAACGGCCCAGAACCCUACGGGAGGCAGCAGUGGGGAAUAUUGCACAAUGGGCGGAAGCCUGAUGCAGCAACGCCGCGUGCGGGAUGACGGCCUUCGGGUUGUAAACCGCUUUCGCCUGUGACGAAGCGUGAGUGACGGUAAUGGGUAAAGAAGCACCGGCUAACUACGUG
rnacentral:rRNA from 1 species